UUUAAAAUAUCUUAGUACUUCCGGGAUGUAUAGCGAACCUUGAGUUAUGAGACUCUGUCAUAAUGUCCCUUUUUAAUUCACUGUCAUUUAGAACACACACCAUGUCUUGAAAUUUGAGUAACCCAUCGGCAGAAACUGUGAAUUUAGAGAUUUACCCCCUGUUCUGCAUCCUUCCUGAGAGUUGAUAGGAUGGAAUCAGUCAAUUAGUCUUUCUUUAUUCUCUGAAUAAGUUCAGGUUGGACUAUCAAAUGGGCCAGACAUGUAACCAUUUUCAAGUCCUGAACCCAUAUUUGCUAUGUAGCUCCUAUUACCCUGCAUUCAAAAACCAUUAGGUGAGCCAACAUGCUUGCACUUUUUCUACUGAGAACAUCUGCUAACACAUUGCCCUUUCCUAGGUGAUGCAAAAUCUUACAACCAUAAUCCUUGAGGAGCUCUUCUAACACCUCUGUC
rnacentral:lncRNA from 1 species